GACGAACGCUGGCGGCGUGCUUAACACAUGCAAGUCGAACGGAAAGGCCCUGCUUUUGUGGGGUGCUCGAGUGGCGAACGGGUGAGUAACACGUGAGUAACCUGCCCUUGACUUUGGGAUAACUUCAGGAAACUGGGGCUAAUACCGGAUAGGAGCUCCUGCUGCAUGGUGGGGGUUGGAAAGUUUCGGCGGUUGGGGAUGGACUCGCGGCUUAUCAGCUUGUUGGUGGGGUAGUGGCUUACCAAGGCUUUGACGGGUAGCCGGCCUGAGAGGGUGACCGGCCACAUUGGGACUGAGAUACGGCCCAGACUCCUACGGGAGGCAGCAGUGGGGAAUAUUGCACAAUGGGCGGAAGCCUGAUGCAGCAACGCCGCGUGCGGGAUGACUGCCUUCGGGUUGUAAACCGCUUUCGCCUGUGACGAAGCGUGAGUGACGGUAAUGGGUAAAGAAACACCGGCUAACUACGU
rnacentral:rRNA from 1 species